GAAAGAUUAGUUAAAUUUAUAACAUUAGCUUGUCAUGCUAAUAUUACUAGAUUUCUAGUAUCUUUUU
rnacentral:tRNA from 1 species